GGCCUUGCAGAGCUGGUGCUUGGGAUGUACACGGGUGCCAGCAGUGCAGCAGGGAAACGAUGACUUGCCAAACUCCACGAGUCUGCUGCACUACACAAAUCUCGGUUCAGUUCCUGUGGAUAUUGAGUAAGAUACCUUACGGGAAGGAUGACUGAGGGGGAGCACAGGUGCCUCCUGACAGGCGAGCUGUGGGGAGCGCAGCACAAGGACUGCUGUCGAUGCCCCCGACGGCCUUGGAGCUGGGGGCUGACGGGCGCUGUCUGUGGGAGGCUCUUACGGCUGAUACGGCUGGGGAAUAAUUAACAGCAGGUGAGUAGGGAGGUAACAGCAAUUGGGUUUAUAAUCUGUUUUAUAUUUUUAGGAGAUAAUUUCUGGAUGCCAUAGGGAAUGUUACUUUGCUAGUCUGGGUUGCAGAAUUGAGUUAAUAUCCUCAAUUAAUAGAUUUAAUUUGAAGCUUUAAUAUUCUAAGAUAAUUGGCUACAUCCUGGUGCAAAUGAGCAAAACUACACUUAAAUGGUUAUAGAACACGUUGAUUUGAAAAUGUUUUGGGCUAUGUUUAAGGCUUUUAUUUUCGUAAUUCCCAUCACCUGCAGAAAAGUUAGGCUGGGGCCGGACUUGCAGAACUGUCCAACGCUGACUUUAAUGUUCUGUCAUUUUCGGUAGGAGUCUGCCAUUGCUUUGAGAAACAGGCGGGCUUUCCAAAACACCCAGAUGCCGCCUAACUUCCUUCUAGGAAGUGAAACAGGAGAGCCCCUCGUCUGUGCGGUGCUCCGAACUUGGCCAUGAGCAUGCGGAGAACAGGUGGGACUGUGCACAGGCUGGGCGGCUGCGGGUCAGCACGGGAGAAGACCAAAUUAACACAGAGGACACGAGCGGCACGUCCCAGAGGCCUGGCGGAGUCACCCCGAGCCGGUCGUGCCGCCGUCCCUGCCGCCGCCUCCCGCACGUGCUAUUCAAUGAGAAACGUCUUUGUGGUUUUAGUGUGGAUCCUCAGCUCCGCAGGGCACUGCCAGCCCCUCGGCACAGCAUCCUCCAACUCCUCCUCCUCCUGCUCCCCCCGGGCUGGGGCUGCUCGUUCUGCUCCGCGUUCGUGCUGGCACCUCCAGCUCCUGGGGACACAGCUGUCAGGUGCAAUUAUUUUGUCUGUCCAUCUGCCCAGAGAUCUCUUGGUGCACCAGGUUGGAACAGCAGCUCCUGCACAGGAACAAGUUGCACUUUCACGCACUGCUAUUUGA
rnacentral:lncRNA from 1 species